rnacentral:rRNA from 1 species
GCAAGUCGAGCGAUAACGGUCUUCGGACUUAUUAAAGCGGCGGACGGGUGAGUAACGCGUGGGAAUCUACCUAGUAGUGGGGGACAACAGUUGGAAACGACUGCUAAUACCGCAUACGCCCUACGGGGGAAAGGGGGGGAUCUUCGGACCUUUCGCUAUUAGAGGAGCCCGCGUAAGAUUAGCUAGUUGGUGAGGUAAUGGCUCACCAAGGCGACGAUCUCUAGCUGGUUUGAGAGGAUGAUC